rnacentral:rRNA from 1 species
GAUGAACGCUGGCGGCGUGCUUAACACAUGCAAGUCGAACGGAAAGGCCCAAGCUUGCUUGGGUACUCGAGUGGCGAACGGGUGAGUAACACGUGGGUGAUCUGCCCUGCACUUCGGGAUAAGCCUGGGAAACUGGGUCUAAUACCGGAUAGGACCACAUUUUGGAUGGUGUGGUGGAAAGUUUUUCGGUGUGGGAUGAGCUCGCGGCCUAUCAGCUUGUUGGUGGGGUAAUGGCCUACCAAGGCGUCGACGGGUAGCCGGCCUGAGAGGGUGUACGGCCACAGUGGGACUGAGAUACGGCCCAGACUCCUACGGGAGGCAGAAGUGGGGAAUAUUGAACAAUGGGCGCAAGCCUGAUGCAGCGACGCCGCGUGGGGGAUGACGGCCUUCGGGUUGUAAACUCCUUUCGCUAGGGACGAAGCGUUAUGUGACGGUACCUGGAGAAGAAGCACCGGCUAACUACGUG